rnacentral:misc_RNA from 1 species
UACGUAGGGGGCAAGCGUUGUCCGGAAUCAUUGGGUUUAAAGGGUCCGUAGGCGGGUUAAUAAGUCAGUGGUGAAAGUCUGCAGCUCAACUGUAGAAUUGCCAUUGAUACUGUUAACCUUGAGUAAUUAUGAAGUGGUUAGAAUAUGUAGUGUAGCGGUGAAAUGCAUAGAUAUUACAUAGAAUACCGAUUGCGAAGGCAGAUCACUAAUAAUGUACUGACGCUGAUGGACGAAAGCGUAGGUAGCGAACAGG